CUCAUUUAAGGGUUUGCAGUGGAAGCAAGGAUGCUUUGCUAGAGAUCCCUGCCUGCCUGAGGCCUUCUAAAGGAUUAGGGAAGGAAAUACUGAAAUAAUGCCUUAUCUGAGAAGACAGAGGAGGUGCAGUAGUUAUGCUGCAGCUGACUUAGAAUGCGUAAACAAUUAAAAGGAAAACAUGUGAGUAUUAUAGUUAAGAAAGAAAAAGUAGGUAAGGUAAGCAUUUGUUCCAUGUACAAGAUUGGCUUUUUUAGUACUUAUCAGACAAAUUACAUCUAUUAUCCCUGUUUAUAUCAUGACUUCUGCCCAAAGGGCACUCUCUCAGUGCUCUCUCUCUGAAAACCAUCAGGCACUCACCAGGAAUUCUUGUGGAAGUAAUUGCUCAGAGUUGGCCAGGUCAGUAUGUUUUCCCAAUGCUCUCUGUGCAGCCUCUCUCAUUCCAGAGUCUCAGCUCAGGCUAUUUCCUACUCUGACCAGGAGAAGGCCUUUUUUUUUUUUUUGUCCUUACAGGGAUAUAGAAAAAAAAACAACCAAAGCCAAUCCACUCUCCUAUAUGUAGUGAUAGUGUCAUAGAAUCAUAGAAUGGCUUCAAUUGGAGGGGACCUUAAAUAUCAGCUGAACAGUUCUGUGAUUCUAUGGAUGUUUGUUUUAUUGGUCAUAAUUUUAUUGAUAUUUAAUUAUCACAGGGCAAUUGAGAGGUAGGGCAUAUUACUAAAUCUGCUUGCUACAAACCAAAUUCUUAGGCAGUUUGUCCAUAAAAUAUUUUUCUGUUUUGAAUUGGAGUGAUAUACUUUAAUAUUUCAAGUACUACUCUGAGGAAGAAAGGUGAUCAAGUCAGUGUGCAAACUUGAAUAUACACAUGAACUGUGAAAUCUUCAGGUUUUUUUUUAUGUGAUACAAAAUACAAAAAAAAAAAAACCUACAUGAAGAGAUAGUAUAAUAAUAUUUUAACCAUUUCUGGGAAAGAAUAUGUUUAAGCAGCAGUGAGAUCUAGGAUUAUCAAGCUUCGUGACACCUUUCCUGUCUUGUGGCAUCCUGGAAAAGGGGCACUUAGUAUUCCAGAGUCACUGAAGAAUCAACAGGUAAUUUAGCUGCUGCUAAUGUUUCAUUACCUAACAGUAAUGAUAUUUUAUAUCUGCAUGAGGUAGUCUCCAUGCUGAAUUCUUCACUGUUUUAAUGUCCCAAAGAACAACCAAACAUUUUAGAAUAAUAUAUAAGGUUUAUUUCAUUUCAGAAACAGGAAGUCCCUUAAAGCAAUCUGGUAUGUUCACAAUAGGAAGUACUUUACAAGAGAUGUCAUUAUGUUCAGCUUGAGAUUUCUGUCUCUGAAACAGUCAUCAGUAUAUGACUAUUGGCUGCAUAACAAAUGUGGAAAAAGUUACUUUUAGUGAAUGAUUCAUUUAGCAUAUUUAGAUGUCUAUUUUUAUUAAAUCAAUCGCCCUUCAAAAGAUUUCUUUGCGUAUGAAAUGUUCACAAGCAUAUCUCCUUCUAUCUGUUUGAACUCUGUCCUAUGGCUGUGUGUAUGUGUCUGUAUAUACAAGGAAAUGAAACUGUGCUUCAUUUGAACUGCUCUAUGUCACUAGUGCACUGGAACAGGGCUGCAAAGAUAAGAGAAUGUGCAAAUUAGAAAAAUAAUUUGGAGAAAUAGAGGAAGGAUUGAGAAUUGGUAUUCUAAGGCUUUUCAGAGGAUAUCCAUUAAUUUAUAAAUGUCCUCCCUUCAUGAAUGCAACUGUAACUUUAUUUCCCAGAGUGCUGAGAGAGGAGUAAGAAUUUAUACAUAUGGCUUUGUGCAUGAUUUUCAGCUAUCUUGUGAAGAAAUUUUGAACUGAAGAGGUUGUUUUACAAUGAGAACAUACAGAGGGCUCAAUAAAUUUGAUUGAGAAUUAUAUCCGGUAUAUAUUCAUUUUUUAUCAACUCAGGAAGAAGUUAUAGGAAUAAAAGACUGCUGAUAACAAUGUGUAAAUAAAAGAACAUUGUUUACUGUUCAUCAUUACCAAUGGAAUUCCAAUAGCAGCUAUAAUAUCUGAUGUUUCUCAAAUGAUUAUGGAGUCUUAAUUUUCUGCAAGAAAAUUCUAUUUGCAAAGUCCUCUAAGUCAUCUGUAUAUAUUUACUACCUAUGUGAUGUAUAACUAAACCAUUGUCAGCAUGGGAAGAGUUGAUUAUUCUUACUGUCAGUAGUGCUAAUUCAGUGGCACAUCCUGAGAAAUUUAUCUGCUUUAGAAAGUAGAACAGUCUUGAGCUGGAAGUUAAAGUACUGGACCCCUCACAGUCCUUCCACCUGUAUUACUCCAUGAUUUAACAAACUUGCUGUUUCGUUUUCAUAUUUUCUGCUAAACCAGUUUGAAAGAAAAUACACUAUUUAUCCUCUACGACAUAUUAAAAAUAAAAAUUAUAUAUUGAUUGCUGUGAAUUGUUUAAAAUAUGAAUGGAAUUAUAUUAAGUUGGCGUUUUUUGUGAAGCUUUCUGAACUGUUUCUGACACUAUGAAUUUUCAUACUGCAAUUAGUGCAAAACUCAGUAGUUUCAUGCAGUUUUUCUAACAGAGCUAACAAUUGUUUUCUAUCUGAUACAGGAUUCAUUUACUUGCGCUGAUAUCCCUUCAAGGGAACAUUUUCCUGUUAAUAACUUUCUGCUGUUAUAUUUAAAGAUACUGGUUUUUAAAGGAGAAAAAAAUUGUUGUUUUUUUUAGCUCCCUGAAAAGUAGCUAAGAGAAAAAAAAAAACACUCGUCAUUUUAUCUUUGAAGUGAAACCUUUGUGUAAGUAUGAGUCAUUUGGAUUUUCUGCAUACUGAAGUAAAGCACUUGUAUGCUGUAAUGCUGCGGAUAUAUAUUAUUUGAAUUACAACUUCUGUAAAAUUGAGCUUCUGUAAAGGUUUAAACCAGUGAGAGGAAUUGAAGGUAUUUUAAUGUGUCCUUUCCUGAGGCACCUUCUAAAUGAUGACAAAUAGUGAUAGGAUUAAACUUCUAUUAGACUACACUUCAUAGCAUAUGAAGCUGUAGUCUAGGGAUACUGCGAAAGAGUAAUGAAAAGUCAUUAAACUUUAAAAGAGAAUGAGUUUUCUUUUAUAUGUUGAGAUGCCAUUAUACACUUGAUAUGUUCAAGUGUCUUUCCAUGGUUUCAUUAUUAACCUUCAUUUUCAAGAACUUUCUAGCUCAACCAUUUAAAAUCACGUUACAAAUGCAUCUUAUCUGUACGAAUGCAUACACUCUGGUUUUGUUUGAAAAUUUGGAUAUACUUAGUCUAAAUAAAUUGACAUUAUUGGCUGAGGGUCAGACAGUGCCAGCAGUUUGAUAAGAUGAUGUUCUUCAAAUCUCAUGUGCUGCACUGGUUAUGUUAAGGUCAAAUUUGAACAAUGCAUAGUUAAAAAUAAUGGGUCAAACUUUUCUGUCAUCCACUGCAGUCUGUGAAAUAACCAAAUGUUUGAAAAACAAACAAAAACAAAAAAACAAAAAACCUAGUUAGAAGAGAUAAUUAGAAGAAAAAUUCCAACAAAAAAUGCAAUUAAAGGUAUAUGAGAGCUGCAAAUAUGCCAUAGACUGAAGUCAGUCAUGGCUUAAAACUCUUCUGAGUAAUUCAGGCCAGUGAUUAAUUUUAAAAUGGAUUGCCCAUGAGCUUGAUCAGUGAAUAUAUGUGCUUAUUUUUAAUACUUAACAUAUUUUUCACAAUCUUAUUGGAAUCAUUUUAUUUAUUUUACCUUCACCCAUCAAGUUGAAACCUUGUUUUGCUGCUUUCAUUUUCUCAUGAGUUACUCAUUAACUAUAUUCCCUUAAAAAGCAACGAAAUGCAAAGAAAGGUAUAUAAUAAUUCACAAAAUUAUUUGAAUUUUAACAUUUGUUUUUUAAUGCAGGUUUUUAAUUUUUUAACUAGAAAAGCAGUCAUUAUUAGCAUUUCUAUUAACUGUAUAUACUCCUUCUCUCUUCGUCCAUCUACUAGCAGCAUUUAUCCCUAGAUAUCAGAGUUUACAGUAAAAUUAAGUGGUUCCUGAUUAGAACAUUUGACAUCAAGAUAUUGUUAAACGCCCUCAUUAUGAAUCAGUAAAUGAGAAGUUGCUGUGUUGGGAGUCCUUUUAACAAUACUUUUACUGGAAACGUAACAGAAAAAGUCAAUGCAUAUACUUGUUUCCAGAUGUCAGGUUAAGAAAACUAAUUUGAAAGUAAGAGUGUCAUUGAUUGCCAAAAUUUACAGAUACUUUCUUGUUCUAUGUGCAGUUUUACUAGCUAUCCAGUAACCAGCUGUCUUAAACUCCAUAUAUAUAGGUUUCUAUGAAGUAAUGUAGUAGAAGAAGGUAUCUCUUGGGCCUGACUUUUGUUCCUUGGUAUUGCAGAUGAGCACAAUUUACAAUUCUUUUCAUAAACUGAUAAAGUUUCUUUUAGAAGUAGUAAAUUUUUUAUCCUGCUUUGCAGAAAAAAUUGUUCUGGAAAUGCAAACACUUUCAUUGCUUUCAACAUUCUUAUUUCUAUUUAAUCGUGACUGAUUUUUACCAGUAUCAUACUUCCUUAAGUUCUGUUUUAUUUACCAUGAAAUACUGAACUUCAAAAGUCAAUUUUUGAGAUAAACAGACUUCUAAAAAUCUUAUAUAUGUAACUUAUAGCUAUUUCUCCAUAUAUCACUGCCACCUCUAUUUUAUAAAUGUGUUAUUUUGCCUCUGAUAAACAUUAACUGAGUUGUACUUCAUGACCCUCAAAACAUAUUUAUUUUGCUGUGUGUCAGAAUAACUGCAUAAUGUGUUCUUCAACAUUUCUUUUACAGUUUCUAUUGACUUUGCAUUUCAGCAUGACAUUUACUGUUGCCAGGUCUAUCAGCAUAUUCUGAAAUGAAAGUUUGGCCUUCUAGUCGGAAUAAGAAAGUGGUAUCUUGUAAUAUAAAGUUACAUCGAAAUACAUUCCCAUCUUCAUAAAAUACAUUUUAUCAUCUUUUCAUACCUGUCUGCUUUGAUAAAUUUCACACAAAUGACUAUUUUUCUCAAAUCUAUUUCAAGGAGAAUGUAAAUAUUCAUGAAUUCAUCUCACCAAUAUUAAUUUGCUGGCGUUUUAUUCACAUAAUAGAGAAUCUCUGAUGCAUCUGUAAUAAUAUCACAUGCUUUUUCAACUUGACAGUGGUAAAUGAGGUCCAGGAAACAUAUGCUUCUUUCAUUCAUAGAACUUAGAGUGAUAAUAAAUUAUUACAAUCAGUUAUAAUAAUUUAUUAGUAUAUGAAAGAAAAGAAUUCAUUCAGAAGGGAAUUGCAAAUAUAUCCCUCUUUAAUUCAUCUUUUCAGUGUGUUAAUAGUAGAUGAAUUAAAAAUGUUGUAUACUCAGUUCUGUGGUCAAUUUUGAUAAUUUUGAUAUUUGUUUCAUUCUGAACAGGGGAGAGAAGAAAAAUGAAACAUAAAAGUAGUCUCAUGAGUAGUUUUUAUAGGUCCAGUUCAGAAAUGCUUGUCACUGAGUCAGGUGGCUGGGUAUGGGCUGGUUUGGUGCAGCCUGUCUGCUUAACUGGAGCACUGCAACAGAAUGUAGUAGCAGUCCUCUGGAAAUACAUUACAUUACCUUGCAUUGUCUCAAGAAUUUGUUGGUUCAUAAUACCUCAAACCGUACUCAGUUCAUGGAUUUAAUUUCUUCACAGUUCUCCAACAUAUAUUAUAGAUUUGUAUAUUAAGAAAAAAAUGCACAUAUAUUCUUUGAUCAGAAUUCCUUGUAUUGCUGCUUUUUAUUUGGGUAAGCUGUGGCAAGAGAACGUUUGUAUGCCUUAAUCUUUCUGCAUACAGUAAAUUUUCAGGAACUGAGUAUUGCUGUUUGGAUUUAUAUUUCAUCAAGAAGGGUUUGUCUGUGCUAUAACAUACCGAAGUAUCUGCUAUAGUAUUCACGUGAAUUUACAUAAACAAGCUACUCUGAAGAUUAAUGAAAAUGCUACCUCACAGCCUACUCUUUCCAGUAGAAACUCAUCUAUAAGAUAAUUGUUGCGUUUACUACUGUGCGGCAGAGCAGUAAGAACAAGAAAUGUUUAUUCUUAUAAUGUUUACUCUGCAUCCAGGAAAAGGAAAAAAACAUUUAUUAGGGCUAAAUCUGUAAAUAUUGAGAGGAUAUGCCUCCCCUGUGUCUUCUCUUCAAAACUCAUUCAUCACCACACAGCCUAUAUUUUAUUCAGUCAUAAGCUAUACAACUGAUAUAUUGAAACAUACAUGAACAUAGUAUACCAGCUACUUUCCCAGUAAUAAGUUUUAUACAUUACUUUCUACAGUCUUGAAAAUCUAGAGCAGUAUGUCUGAAACAAAGCCAUGAUUAUGUAACAGUGCUUGCUUUGAAAACUUAGUAUAGGAAACUAGGUCAGGAUGCAUUCAUAGAUGCUAAAUCCUGUAAUAAGUGCAGUCAUCUUAUGAGCAGCCUCCAUGAAUCUGCUAGUAAUUUUCUUUACAUUAAUAUUGCAAACAAUUGAUAUCUCUCUAGACUCUCUGUAGAGAACCAUUGCAAAUCAGAUCUAUAAAGGGUAUUGGAGGAGAACAGCAUUAAGUAUGAAGAUAUUUUGCUUCUGUGGGUUUGGUGAUAGGGAGCCAUACUUUAUAGCUGGAUAUCUGUUGAGUAUAAUUGAGAUAUAGCUAAGUAACAGAAACCAAAAAUGCAGCACUAGAUGAGUGUCUGCAGUUAAAUACACUUUGUUGUAGAAAACUAGCACAGUACAUCAGAUGAACUAGAACUACUCUUCCUCUGGCACAAAAUGUUUCUGACAGGAAUGUAACACAUAGAAGCAAAGCCUAUAAACAAAGACAAAAAGAAUAUAGAAACAACUGCUGCCAGUUUUGGAACAGAGUAUGUUGAGUGAUUUAUUUAGAAAUCACUGCACUGUAUUUCUCAGUAUUUACUGUAUAAAACCAUAGCUCUGGGUCAUGAAAAGUUAUUCCAUGUGUACUUUUUUUGGAUGUGUUUGUGUAUUUCAUAUUGGUUCCAAGGUGAUGAAAGAAUUAACAGCAAUACAGAAAUUAAUAAAUUUCAGCUAUGUAAUCUUUCCACUGCUAAAAUCAUUCUUGCGCAAAUACCUUUGUUAUAGUCCUGUUAAGGAGCUUUAUGUUCCUCUAUCAAACAUUCUUGUUACCAUCAGAAAGACUAAGCAAUAAGUUUCUAAACUAAGUCCCUGCUUAGCAUUUCAGUGGCUUUUUUGGACUAGCAUCUUACUUGAAGAAAAUGUAUAAACCUUUUCUGUAGUAACUAGACUAUUGUACAGUGAAGAUUUUGGGGUUCACAGAUGUGGGGGGAAAAAAAGAAAUGCCAGAGAGCCUGUGCUUCUCAGCAGCCCUGAGCUGGCAUAUUUCUAGUCAGUGUGAUCUUGGCUUCUGUCCUUACUCCUGUACAUGUUUCUGUACUCUAAACACUGUGUGAAUUGCCAGCCACGAGCUUGGCACUUUCCUUCUUUCUUUCCCAAGUAUUGCAUUUGUUGCUGCUCAUUCCCAGAACGGAGCUGGCUACAGAGACCUUAGCGUAUAGUCUGUACUACAAGCUUUGCAAUAACAACAGUGCAGCUUGAGUGUCUAUGAGAAAUCAUCCUGUAUAUCCACCUUGCUCCAUGACUCUUCUAUUACAGAAUUGUGUAGUGCAUACAAAUAAAAUUUGUAUUCAAAUGAAAAAAUACACUUUUAAAAAGGGGGUGGCUUCAGUACUUAGUUUCGGAAACGCAUUCUUGGUGCAAACACAGUUCAACAAAGGCACCUUUAAGUCUAAACAGAAAUUGCUUCUCUGUUUUCUGCUGAUUUGUUUUCAUAACUUACAGCCUAGCGCUCUGAGCUACCUCUCUGAUUCUCACAGAGAAAUACUCAGCUUUGAGCUGUGUGUAUUACUGCAUCAGUCAGGCAGGAUGGAUAUCCAACAACCAGCCCUAGUAAAAUUCAGAAACAAUGUAAUUUUUUGUUUGUGCCUGAAAAAAAAAAGAAAAAAAAAUGAGAGGAAAAAUCAAUGUAUCAAGAAAAUAAAGCACGUAGUUAUGUGAAAUUCAGUCACAGCUCUAAUGAAUAUAAGGAAUACUUAAUUAACUAUGUUUUGUUUAGUGUAACUGUACAUAUUAAUCUUCACAAAGAGGUACACAAUUUGAGGAUACUUGCUGAAGUGAGUGUGUGUGUGUGUGUGAGAGAGAGAGGGAAAAACAGAGGUGAUACCAAUUUAGUUUAAACCAGUGGUGAUUUAUUGGUGUUUUUACUCCAUCUUUACACAGUUUUUACAAUGAAGUCUAUCAGGAAAUAAUACUGAGGUGCAUAUGAAUUGGAGAUAGAUGGAAGCAUCAAUUUUGUUAAUUAGCUUCAUAAGGGCAUUGUGAAAUUCUACAGUGUAUUUGACCUUUUCAGAUCUGACAUCACUAUUAGGAGAUUAUCAAUGUCUCAAUCAUUUUAACUUAUAAAAUUGUCUUCGUUAUAAAUGAAUAUAGAUGUAAGGCCAAUGAGGAAAGUGAAAAUCAGUAUUAAAAAUAUGAUCUUGUGACUGCCCACUACAGUUGCUUCUUCAAACCUUAUGUGUUUUUUUCUUGUAAAUGAAUUUCAUAGCUGUCAUCCUGAUAUAUUGAUUUGUGCAAAAUAUACCUCAAAGCUCUCUGGCACACUACCUCACCAAAAAUAACAACACAGGGGGAGGAAAAAUUGCAGAAAAUUGACAUUAAGGACAGCAAAAAUGUGUCAGUAGAAUGACAAAUUUAGUUUGAUUGGGCUUCUCAUGCAGUCUGUAUAGGAAAUUAUGCAUCUAAUUAUCUUUUAAAAUGGCUUGUAUUAUACCAUGCAGUAUUAAAUGUAGCCUGAAAUGAUGUCCUUACCACUGCAUCUUAGGUGAUUUGCUAGCUGAUGUUGCUUAGAACUAGUGUCUGUGUUUGGUAAUUUUUAUUCCACGCUUCUCUAUCUGCAGAUAUUCAUAUUGCAUGCUUGAUAAUUUCUCAGAACUUUUUUUUUUGAGAAAUUGAGCACCUUUCUCCAUAAAUCUGUAACUUUUCCUACACAUUAAAGAAAAAGAAGUUUGCAUCUAUAUGGCUGUGUCUGCAUGAACUGCAGAUACAGAUGUAUUUUGCUCUUUCCCUUGGGCUUAGAUCAAGACAUAACUCAUUUUAAAAAUGUUUCAAGGGAAGAAAAUUCUAUUGUACCUGAAAGAAUGAAAAAGAAAAUAGAAAAUUAAACCAACAGUCACUCUCCGAGGUGAUCAGGGGAGAUCCAAAGUUUUCACAGAGAUGCACCAGGAGCCAGCAGCUCUUUGGAGAACCUCUGAUUGAGGUAUGAGCAUAGCAGGGAGUAAUUGUGGGCAUUAUCUGCGCACUCAGACAACAGCCUUAGCAAGUGUCAUUCUGCUGCUUGAGUGAGAGGCUUGAAAUACACAUAAACCAGGAACCAGGAUUAUUCCAUGACCAUCUGCGCUGCUCAAGGGCACUCAUUCCAUAUGGCCCUCAGGGCAAAACUGUGGACAGUCACCUGAGAUCAUAGGCUCACCAUCUGCUGCCUAUCCCCAGGCUGAUGACUUCUCCUGGACAGAGCUGCUGAGGGGAGAAGCUGCUGUGCAGAGCAUAGACUGCAGGAAAUGCCUAUACCUUUCUCCUGUAGCAGGGACAGGCAACAUAGCUGCCUCCAGAAAGGGCGACCAAGUAGAGGACCUCUUCAGUUAGGGGCUGAGCUGCAGGAGUGCGUAAGGCUGCAUGACAUCAGGGAGGCAGAAGAGGAUCUAGAUAUCUGAUUCUGCAAACCUUCCCCCAUUAGCACAAAGGAGGGACAAGGCUUCCAUCUGCAGGGCCCAGCAGGAUGAGAAGACAUACCCCAAAGCCUGUGGUGAUGCUGCAGAACUGUUAUUCCAGAUAAUGGAUCGCAUUCCGAUGAAUUAUCAGUGACAACUUAAAAAAAAAAAAUCAUGAAAAAUAUAGCCUUCAGUUAUUAGAUGCUUGGAAAGAAGAACAACUGUAGUUUUGCUGCCUAGUCUUUUCCAGUGUAAAUCUGUUUUGACCUAAACCUGAGGAAAAUUGAAAGAAACAAAAGCCCACAUUAAAGGGAGUACUGACAAUGAAAUAAUAGCAUUUAAGGGAUUGAUUUAAAAUCUGGCACUUAGAAAUAUUUUGCUUCACAUUUUCAGGAAAGCUUUUAGCUUAUUUAUAAAGUCUCUGAAUUCUAAUUUUGUAUUCAUGUCACUACACUGCCUUUCCCUUUGUUACUUGUAUUCAUUUACUCUAAGUACUUCAGAAACAAAAAUUAGCAUUAAACCUUGGCAUGUGUUAAAAGCACUAUAGGCAAAAAAAUUCUACAACCAGGGUAUUCAUUUUCUCUUGGAGAUGCUUCAAAGUUCUUCCAAAUUAAUAAGAUUUCUUCUUUCCCCUCUUCAAGGCGAAUAAGGAAUUUUUGGAAACCAGGUCUUUUCUCUUUUAUUCCUCCUGUUUGGGAGAAAGGGAGAGUGGCAUUUCUAGAAUUAAGGUCUAAGUAACUUCAAGGUAACAACAAUUCUUGCAGUGUAGUCUGUGCUUUCAUGGGCAAAGUUCUCGAUUGCAUAAAUAAUUUAUAAAGGUUUAUCCCUAGGUAUUUAGAAUGGCAAUUGACAAAAGUGCUUAAGUAAUUUAGAAGCCCAAAUCCCCUGCCUACAUCCAAGGAAACAUACUUUAGGAAUCUAACUUUAGGAUAUAUAUAUUUUUUAUAUAUUAUGAUCCAAUUCUUAAAAGUGAGACAAAAUAGAGAAGCUAUAGUUCAUGCUGUAGAUAAAAAUGUUAGUCCAGCUGCUUCAAAGCAUCGGCAGCAACUCCUUUCUCUUUCCUUAAUAAAAGGAGACAGGUUAAAACCAUAAAAUCAUAUCGAAAUUUACAUAAUGCCAAUAAACGAUGCUAAAGAUGGAUUUAGCAUGGUUAAAGGGGGUUACGUACAUUGUGUCUAUAUUAUAUAGCCAUAUAGUAAAAAGUUUUAUAGUCUGCUAGAAAUAUGUCUAUUGGCCUAGACAAGGUAGAUAAGCUAAUGACUUUUAGUAUGGAAAUUCAGUUUCACUCACCCUUAAGACACUAACAGUAUAGCAUACUCUCUGCUCAUAUUAAAAAGCCUGCUUUCUGAAGAGCUGGAACAGGCAAUGUUAAAUGUAUGAAACUGAUUAAACUGUAUAUAGUGAAAGAUAUGGGUUCAUCAGUAACAUGUAAUGGAGGUUUAUGUCAUAGCUAAAAAAAAAAAAGAUAAAAAUCCAUGAUAUAGAAAAGAAGCAGGAAUAGUUUAUUUUGUUGAGGACUUAUGUCUUUAUCACUAAUCUUUUUAUUCUCUAGCUCUGCUUCAUAAAUCCAGUUACAUGUCCUUCUAGAAGAAUAAAGUGAACUGUAAUGACAUUUCAUCUAUGGAAAGUCAGACCUGGUUGAAGUCCCUUCUGCUUAUAAAUUCUACAGAGGUCAUAGUCUACUGUUGUCUAGCCUUUUAAAUAUUCAUAUAAAUGUUUGGAUAAUCAAACUGUACAUCUCUGUAUUGCAUAUUUUUUUCUAUUAGUAGUAAACAGAAUGAAGUUCUUAAUGUUGAUAAGUGGGCAAGUGGAAAAUGACACAACUAGUAGAGAUUCAUUCUUUAGGUCUGCUCUUCUGAAUGUUGAAAAGGAACAAAAGAAAAUUCAAUUUUGAAAGGUAUUUAAUGAUCUUCCUUGACAGAUAUAACAUCUGAGAACUGUUAAUUUUUAUGAAAAUUAGAGAAGGCAAUUCACAUAUAGUGGGAAAAUGACUACACUCUUACAAGUCUAAGGAUAAAUGCUUAAAUGAAGGUACUAUAUGUUUAAAAAGCAGGUAAAUCAAAGGUCUACACAGAACUGUGUGCUUUUACACAAGAUAUGUUAAAAGGAAGAAAAAUAUUUAUUUAUUUUGAUUGUUUUUCUAAGCCUAAACUUAAUGUUUUCAAUUACAAGAUCUGCUUUAUAACUGAGUUAGCUAGAGAAAUCAUUAUUUGGCUGAAGUGUAGUGGCCUCCAUUGAGUUAUUAAAACCUAGUUAAAGUACAAAGAGCACAGUUCUGCAUAUGCAUGUGGUUAAGAGUUAAUAUUUCAUAGUUUUUGUGCUUCUGUAUACUCGGGUCACUCUGAAAAUAAUUUCACUUUAUUUCCAUGCAAAAAGCUACAGAUACAAAGAGCAAAAUAACACUACUUGCUAGGGCAAAUUCUUAUCUACAAAACGUAGUUUUUCAACACAGGCACCACUAUUAGUUCUGUAUUUUUACCAUGAAAAAGAGCCUAUGUGCAGUGCUUGGAAAAAAAAAAAAAAAAAAACUGUAUCAGCACAGACUGACCCACUGUUUCAUAGCUGCUAUGACAGCAUCACUGCUUGAAAAAUGUCCAUGAUGUUCAUCUUUCAUCAGCCCAAACAGGUGAAAAGGCUCCAAAUCUAGAUUAUACAGUGAGUGUGAUAGGGCAGUCCAGCUGAGAUUGGCAAUGUGCUCCAAACUGGUAUGGCACCUGACAUUAUGAAGUUGCAAGAGAAAGGUGGUCUUCUCUGGCCUGAUUCUGGAAGUUUGAGCCUUCGGCUCAGCCAGUGUCAUGAUGUAGCAGUGACAAUUAAUGGUUUGUACAGGUCACAGAAAAUCCAGCUGGAUCACCUCUUACCUAUUGUGCAUCACUUUACCCACUGAGGGAUGCAUCUUGAAGAUUUUCUUCAAUGGGGAGUUCACAUGUUGCUGCUGCCUUUUUGACUCCAGCUUGUAGUGGUGACAUCAUGUCUCCUCUAAUGAUGUGAUCCAGGAAACUGUCACCUUCAGUCCUAUAUUGGUUCAGCAGGUCCAAAUGAACUUUCCUGCUCCUAUGUGAACAUCCACCUGGCACAGAAUUUGUGAUAUUCCAGUGUUACCACCGUUGUUUCUCCAGCCCUUAUUCAGCUUUGUAAAUGGUUCCCUGGUCAUAAACUGCUGAUGGUGGAAGUGAGAAGAUUGUGAUGUUCUUCAUUUCAUAGGGUGACAGCUGCCCAUGGUUUUCUGGAACGUGGCUCGUCUUUCUUGUUGCUGUUGCGUAAAUUCAACAAAAUGUAAUGAAAUAUUGUUAAGAAAGUUCAGCCUCUACUGCCAUACCACCAACAUCUGUCUCUGAUAUUGUGGGCUAACAUAAUAAAAUAGGAGGCAUUACCUUUGUAGCAGCUCUCAUAUUUAGAAUGGAUGAUGGUUUUUACAAUGGAAUCUAUUAACUUUGCCAAAAAUAAUAGCAUAAUUCUUAACAGGCAUAAAAAAUGUUUAGAAUUUAUUCUCUUUAGGGUGAAAAUUGAUAGGUUAUUUCUGCAGUAUUGUGUAGUUUUUGAAUGUCCCUGAUUGGGAGUUUUUAUUUUAAAAUGUUUGGUAGUCAGGGGAUCAAUAUAUGCAUCACAGUACUAACUGUAAUUCAAUCACAGACAGAUUAGGUCUGUAAAGACCUUCUGGAAAUAAUUUAUUCUAAUGUUUGCUCAAAGCAGAGUAAUAUUCAAUUUAUUUGGAGGUAUUAUUGACCAAGGUUUUAAAAAUCUCUUACAAUAGAAUAUCCCUAGCUUCUCUGGGCAACCUUUUCUGUCUUUGCCCAUAUUGAAAGGUCCUUCCAAAGUACUUUUUAAGCAAUUAAACUGAAAAUAGUGAUUUAAAUGAAGACUUGUCCUGUUUCUAAAACAGCUUUAAUCCUUGUUUGUUUGUUUGUUUCUGCUCCUCUUUAAUGAGGAAAAUCAUUGUUUCCUUUUUAACUGCCAUGGCACAAUGAACUAAUAUCGCUACUGAGCUUACAUGCUUUUUCUUAAUUGAAUACCUCAGUUUGCUCAUCUGUAAAAUCUCUAAUAAAGUACUUUUCCUUACUCACAAGGGUGUUAUAAGAUCUAAUGGGAUAAUAAUGUGCAGUACUCAAUAUCUGGAGAUAAUAGGUAACGUAUAAGUGCAAAGCAUUAAUUAUUAUUAUUAUUGUCCCUCAGAGCAUGACUUUAAAUCCAAAAUUGGCAAAAAAAAGGUUUAGCCUGUCUUUUCUUAACAAAUUUGGUUUACUAAGACUUAUGUUCAGCAACGUACUGCAAGUCUCAUAUUCACCCUCACGUAGGUCUACUUAGUUUUCUAGAGUUGAUAAAAUAUAGCACAUUUAGCUCUAGUAUUCUAUUGAGAAGUUAGGAGGAUUUUCUUUCAGUAAGUAAUGAAUUUUUUACACUUGAUUAAGAGAAAGUUCUAUGAAUACAUGUCUUUCCUUAUUAUUUUGGUAUUCUACAAUGUUAAUGAGAGUCCAGAUCUAGGUUCUUAACCUUAUAUUUAGGCAUCUGUAACACACACAUUAAAAAAAAAAAAAAUGCUGACUGUUAAGUUAUAUCUAGAAUUCAAAUUAUACUGAUACAUUGAAUCAGGACUGAGUGUUGUUUUGGAGAGAUCCUUCUGGAGUGGUCCAUAGGAAAGCAAAUGAGAAGUACUCCACUUCUGACUCUUGCUUUCCAAAUGAUGUGUCCUAGCCACUGGAGGAGCUGGAAUUGGAACUUCCUUAGCCGAAGUUGUGACUAGAAAGAUUUCAAGGGAAAAAAUAAGGUCAGUGGGAGUAUGACUUAGAAUUGUAGUAUUUUUGGUAUGGUAUUGUGCCUGUUUUUCAUUACAUGCAUUUUAGGUGGAAAGGAAAGAAACAAAAGAAAAGCAAACCUGAAGAAUUAAAAUAAUUUUCCAGACUAAUUAUGUCAUUUUCCACUUGGCAAAAUUAUUCAGUGUUCACUUGACAGCAUUGAAAACUUCUGUUUACUACUGAUAUGAAGAAGCAGAGGAGUUGUAGAAUCAUAGAAUGGCUUGAGUUGGAAGGGACCUUAAAGAUCAUCUUGUUCCACCCCUCCCCUGCAGAGGGUGGGGUUGCCAACCACUAAGUCAGACAUUAGUUCAGGUUGCUCUGGGCCCUAUACAGUGUGGCCAUGAACACUUCCAGGGACGGGGGAAUCUACAAAAUCUCUGGACAGUCUGUUCCCAGAAGAAGCAAAUAAGUGUGUAAGAUCUGGAUGUUUUUAGAAGCUCUUCAGUCUGGAAGCAUUGCUGGUUGUUCAAUUUACAUUCUUAAUGUAGCUGAGGGGUGACAGAGUAUUCAAAAGCUUUGUGUAAUUCCUUUCUGGAACAUUUCUGAAAUAAUACAAUUCAGGAAUAUUCAUUAGGGGAUAGGGGCUUAGGAAGUGAUGACCAUUUCAUGUUGAACUGUUCAGAGUCAGAAUCAAUUUACAUACCCUGAUCUCAGGACAAGCUUAGAUAGACUCUGGACAGAAGCAACAGCAUGUCUAUUCACCUAGUUGAUUCUGGGACUGUAGGAAAUCUAUAAAAAUCAUCAAAAAGAGUUCAUCUUAAAUUGUUUUAGAUAUUUCUUUUCUAAUUACUUUUCAUCUUGUUUUCUUUUCCCUUAUCUUGAGGGAAUUUUUUUUUUAUUACAUUAGCAUGGCCACCUUAACUGAGAUAUAAAUAUGGUGACAAAUUUUGUCAAAACUAUACAAAAUUCAAUACUGCAUAUUAAAAACUAAAAUAAGUAUCUGUAAGUAAAUAUUAAAUCCUUAAAAAAGGGAAUGCUUCAUUGACAAAAUAUUCUUACUGUUCUUAUACAUUACCGUAAUUAAGAACUACGUUCUCUUGUUUGAUUGUGUGCUCUCUCUCUUUCUACAGUUAAAGGGUGUUUCUAUAUAUUGUUAAAGGGUCUUGUUUGUGUUUUGUUGUUGUUGUUGUUGUUUUGUUUUUUGAAAUCGAGCAAUGAAAAGUAUUUCCAUCAUUUUCAGUAUCUUUCACAUCUUCAAAGCAAAACAACAGACAUGAUUUAGUAUGUGGCUCAUCUGAAGCAAAGAAAAUUAUAACACCAAGACUAUUAUAUGGACCAAAGAAUAAAUUACACAGUAUAAGCAAUAUCACCUUUGGAGACUGAUUCUUAUGUUCACACCAUGAGCAAAUCUUGAUAAUGAAGGCAGUUAACCACAGCUUCACUUUUUCUCACACUCCAUUUUUUAGAUAUAUUUUUAAAUCAAAGUUUUGAAAUUUACUAGCCACUGUUAACUAUACAAAUUUCAAGUAAGCACACAAUUUUUUAAUGUAUGAUUGCAUAUUUUGUGCCGAAAUUGUGAAUUCUAAAUGAUUUUAAGUUCUCUUCAUAGUUCUACCCCAGUAGAUUCUAGCCAGUUAUAUCCUCUUUCUGUCAAUCUCAGCUUUUCUAAAUCUUCUUAUCCACAAAUGUCAGGCCUCUUCAUCUACUCAUUUCUGUCACUCCAAGCACUUACGAACAGUCUGAUUAAUUAGAAACUUACAAUGCAUCGUGGACUUUCUCUUUCAGCUAGGUGCUGCCUUUAUUUUAGGUAUUGCACAGAGAUGAAUGUCUUAGCAAUACUAUAUGAAGUAGAGUGAGUCAGUCAAACUAAACUGAAAAAAGCAUCACUUUCACAGAAGAAGGACUUUACAUCUCAGCUGUACUAACAGAUUAAACUAAAAAGCUGACAGGUUAGCACUAUAAAACAUAAACUGAUUUUGUACAUGAGGAGAAAGAGGACUGUUCUGUAUUUUUAUCAUACCUGAAAGUACAGAGCAUUAAAAAUUAAAAUUAUAUUCCUGAAUUUUGAGGAAGUAUAUAGCUGUUAGUCAGGAUCAGCAAAUUGUUUAUUUGAUUUUACCUUAUUCUUGUGUAGCUGUUUUUAUCUACCUGUAAGGUUUCCUACUGUGUUUUCAUCAUUCAGAUUUGAUGAAUCUGAACUGAAUUGAUUUUUUAGCUGUGCUGCACGCCAUAUAUAGAGCACAUGUUCAUUCAGGUAUUGAAACGCCUAUUGCUCUGGAGAUUUCCUGAAGUUGAUAUGAAGUCCAAAUAGAAGCCGGAAGAUACAAAGGGAAACUAACUUCAAAUAAAGCUGGCUUCUGCUAUUUUAAACUUCUAAUCAUGUUUACAGAACAGUGUGAAGUAUAGACCUGAAAGUAAAAUAAAAUUGCUGAUAGUUUCAACUGGCAUUUUUUCUCAUCUACUGUGUUGGAUAUAUAUCAGGAAAACCUCUGCAGGUUAUGAGCCUCAGCCUUUUCUAUAGUAGGAAGAUCUCUAGGUUUUCUGAAAUAUUUGCAGCUAUCUUGGCCUUCUGUAUCUUGAGAGAAGGCAUAAGUAUUUCAGAAAUGGGCUUAAAUUUCUUCUCAAACAUGUAGUGAAUGAAAUUUCAUUGUAAAGUAUUGCAAGAAUAUGUAGGAAUAACUGUAUCUUCCUGCCAUGAAUCAGAGAAAACUUCUAUUUCACCUUGAAACAUAGAAGUAAUGUGUUAAAUUCUACUGCUGUUACAUAUGUACGUGUUUAUUUUUUGCAAUAUGCCCUUGGCUUUAUGUGUGUUUUGAAACCAAAAGUUAGUUACUGCAGGUGGUGUAAAGUACAUGAGAUUUAAAUUGAAUAAUUGCUUUUGUUUUCUUUAAAUGAAAAGAAAAGCAACAGAGCUACUUAAAAAUUACACAUUUCACAUUCUUCUGAUUCAUUUGCAGGAGACUGAAUAUCAAGGCCAUUCAAGACAAAAACAUAGAUUUCUGAAGUUAUGAACUAGUGUUAGUUAUUUCUUUAAGAUAGCUGAACACUGUCUUUUGGCUCUGUGAAGUAAAUGUGAUUCAUCAUCCUUUCGUAAGCUGUCAGAGCUUCAUAAUAUGUACCUAUCUUCUGCUCAUACAGCUUUCAGAAUAACAUUAGAAAAAAAAAAUCAUUCAGAGAAAUCUGCAUUCAUUGAUUUAAUAUUAUCCUGGGCUAAGUUGGUAUCUAUUUGUCUGUUCAAACCAUUGUACAAUAAUUAUUAUUUUUCUUAAUUUUAAUAACACUUCAUGUCUUUAAUACAAUUUUUACAAUUUUCAUAUUAACUUUGCUUAAUUUUGUUGCCUGUAAUGUAGUUUUUACUUUGCUGUAGUUUUAAUGAUUGAAGACUAUCAUGCUAAAUUGUAUCUGUGACGUUCAAUAUUCUCUGAUGGUUCCCACAGGAUAAAUUUUUGUGAUAGUUUGAUAUUCAUGGGAUACAUUAAAUAAAAUUAAAAAGUAACAUAAUCUGAUCAAGGUUCUUAAAGAUUUUUAACGGAAUCAAACUGAUUUUUUUUACAUGUUGAUUUUAAAUGGUCAAGAUUUCUUUAUCUUCUUUUAGAAUUUUAUCCUGAGUUCUGAAAUGAAAUGUACCAUCUGUCAGUCGGUAAGGCCCUCCUCAGGAAGUUCAAUAGUACCACUUAAAAUGAAAAGGUUAAUUUCAAACACAAUUUGUAGUAUAUGAUGGCAAGGAGUACUUCUUGCUGUGUGAACUUUCAGAGUGAUGCACCUUGCAAAUUGGAUUAUUUUUUCUAUAACAUUUUCACAAUAAGCUCAAGCACAGUUCAUAAGAUGAAAAAAAUAAUAAAAUGAAAAUAAAAACAAUAAUAAAAAAGAAGUGAUUUGAUCAUAAUGUAAAACUUGAUGUCUACUUCUCCUAGACAGAAUAUAUUUGUAGAACAAUGUCUAGGAAUAGUGAACUUUUAUUUUAGCCUUUUCUGUCUUUCAAUUUAAUUCAAAGACAUAUUGGAAUACAGUCUUUAUUAUAGGGUGCUAUCAGGUUUUCAGUCUAAUUGCAAUAAGAGCUAUUUGAAAAUUAUUUGGAAAAACUCUAUUUAUGAAAUCUGUUCUAGUUUGUAGAAUGCUAACAUUUCAUAGAAACAUCUAGCAUUCAACAAACUUCAGGAUAAUCACCAUGAAAUUCACCUGGUUUGGUAAGUACACUUCUGUCAUCCACAUCUUUCAGAUCCUGUGACUUGUAGCAAAUCAGGGCUUUCAGGAGCCCUAACAAAAAUCUCAAAUCUGGUAGCCUCAGCUGUAUUUGGAAAAUCCCAUCUGCCACUUAGUAUCUAGGCAUCUUUGGUUUUUCAUUGAAGUCAAACAUCCUGGAACUGAAAAGAAUAUAAAUUUCAUGUGAAAACAUUUGCACAACUAGAGUGUAUAUAAACUUGUCAAUACAGUUAUUCCCCA